AAGAAGAACCAGUUCGUUCAAGAUAAGAUUAAUCAUACGCACGAAUCUUGUUUUUUUGAAUCUUUCUCCCAUUUUUUUUAGCAAACAGAGAGAUUUCUUAGGGAUAUGACUUUGAUGGAUUUUGUGUGUACCCAUAUGAUAUGAGAACUGCUGAUCGAAUUAAGUAGCUAGAGAGAAAAAGAAGAAAAAUGUGGAAGCACUUAUAGGUUGUGUUUGACCUGAUUAAAUUGUAAUCAUUCAUUUAAAUUUGUUUAUACUAUAGGAAAUUAAGAGAUGGUGGAUUAAUUUCUCUGUAAUAUAUAUUCCAUAUUAUAUGACGAGCAUUGUGAUUUGCUAGUACAAAAUUAUGAGAGAAUGUUUUUGGAUUCUGGCUCCCAUUACGAUUCUAGAGUUGUAGUUGUUAAAUUUAAU
rnacentral:misc_RNA from 1 species